UACGAAGGGGGCUAGCGUUGCUCGGAAUCACUGGGCGUAAAGGGUGCGUAGGCGGGUCUUUAAGUCAGGGGUGAAAUCCUGGAGCUCAACUCCAGAACUGCCUUUGAUACUGAAGAUCUUGAGUUCGGGAGAGGUGAGUGGAACUGCGAGUGUAGAGGUGAAAUUCGUAGAUAUUCGGAAGAACACCAGUGGCGAAAGCGUGUUACUGGGUCUGCACUGACACUGAGGGACGAAAGCUAGGGGAGCGAAAGGG
rnacentral:rRNA from 1 species